rnacentral:tRNA from 1 species
AAGAAGGCCUCACAGAGCCGCUAACUCUGCCCACCUGAGUCUAGACACUCAGACUUCUU